UACGUAGGGUGCGAGCGUUAAUCGGAAUUACUGGGCGUAAAGCGUGCGCAGGCGGUUCGUUAAGACAGAUGUGAAAUCCCCGGGCUUAACCUGGGAACUGCAUUUGUGACUGGCGAGCUAGAGUAUGGCAGAGGGGGGUAGAAUUCCACGUGUAGCAGUGAAAUGCGUAGAGAUGUGGAGGAAUACCGAUGGCGAAGGCAGCCCCCCUGGGUCAAGAUUGACGCUCAUGCACGAAAGCGUGGGGAGCAAACGAGG
rnacentral:rRNA from 1 species